rnacentral:rRNA from 1 species
AACGAACGCUGGCGGCAUGCCUAACACAUGCAAGUCGAACGAGACCUUCGGGGCUAGUGGCGCAAGGGUGCGUAACGCGUGGGAACCUGCCCUUAGGUUCGGAAUAACUCCCCGAAAGGGGUGCUAAUACCGGAUAAUGUCUUCGGACCAAAGAUUUAUCGCCUUUGGAUGGGCCCGCGUUGGAUUAGCUAGUUGGUAGGGUAAAAGCCUACCAAGGCGACGAUCCAUAGCUGGUCUGAGAGGAUGAUCAGCCACACUGGGACUGAGACACGGCCCAGACUCCUACGGGCGGCAGCAGUGGGGAAUAUUGGACAAUGGGCGAAAGCCUGAUCCAGCAAUGCCGCGUGAGUGAUGAAGGCCUUAGGGUUGUAUAGCUCUUUUACCCGGGAUGAUAAUGACAGUACCUGGAGAAUAAGCUCCGGCUAACUCCGUG